UGGAUCUAUGGGGAUACAUGUGGGUCCAUGGGGAUACAAGUGGAUCUAUGGGGAUCCAUGGGGAUACAAGUGGAUCUAUGGGGAUCCAUGGGGAUACAAGUGGAUCUAUGGGGAUACAUGUGGGUCCAUGGGGAUACAUGUGGAUCUAUGGGGAUCUAUGGGGGUCCAUGGGGAUACAAGUGGAUCUAUGGGGAUCUAUGGGGGUCCAUGGGGAUACAUGUGGAUCUAUGGGGAUCCAUGGGGACACAUGUGGAUCUAUGGGGGUCCAUGGGGACACAUGUGGAUCUAUGGGGAUCCAUGGGGACACAUGUGGAUCCAUGGGGACACAUGUGGAUCUAUGGGGAUCUAUGGGGAUCUAUGGGGGUCCAUGGGGACACAUGGGGGUCCCUGGGGAUCCAUGGGCAUCUAUGGGGACACAUGUGGAUCUAUGGGGAUCCAUGGGGUCCAUGGGGAUACAAGUGGAUCCAUGGGGUCCAUGGGGACACAUGUGGAUCCAUGUGGAUCUAUGUGGAUCCAUGGUGUCCCUGUGUGCCCCUAUAUCUCACCAGGGCUGCGCAGGAUGGCCGACAGCGCGGAGGUGCUGGAGUGCCCAAACAGCCUCUCGUGCAUGAGCUGCCGCUGCCGCGCCUCCUGCUCCCUGCGCAGCGCCUGCGCCUCGGCCGCGAUGUCGGGCGGCAUCACCGCCAGCACGCUGUCCUCCAUGUCCUCCAGCACCGAGCGCCGCAGCUCCGACGGCAGCGUCUGGAUGAACGUCACCGGGUCCAUGGGGGCGUCGGAGCUGGUGGCCUGAGCCAGCUCCCGGCGCUGCUGCUCCGCGCGCUGCUGGGCCAGCACCUCAAGGGGGGACGGGCACGGGUUAGGCCACACCCACCCUCAUUAAGCCCCUCCCCCCUCAUUAAGACACGCCCAUCAUUAAGCCCCUCCCCUCAUUAAGCCACGCCCAUCAUUAAAGCCCCCCAUUAAGCCACGCCCAUCAUUAAGCCCCUCCCCCUCAUUAAGCCACGCCCCCUCAUUAAGCCACGCCCCCCUCAUUAAGCCACGCCUUCCCUCAUUAAGCCAC
rnacentral:lncRNA from 1 species